rnacentral:rRNA from 1 species
CAAAAACAUCGCCUCCCGCAAAAAACAACGUAUAGGAGGUCCUGCCUGCCCAGUGACUGUAAGUUAAACGGCCGCGGUAUUUUGACCGUGCAAAGGUAGCGCAAUCACUUGUCUUUUAAAUGAAGACCUGUAUGAAUGGUGAAACGAGGGCUUAACUGUCUCCCUCCCCCAGUCAAUGAAAUUGAUCUACCCGUGCAGAAGCGGGUCUAACCCUACAAGACGAGAAGACCCUUUGGAGCUUAAGAUAAAGCCCAACUAUGUUAAAAGUCCAAAAAAAGACUAAACCCAAUAGCCCUGGUCCCUAUCUUCGGUUGGGGCGACCACGGGAGAAAACGAAGCUCCCAUGCGGAUUGGGGGAACCCCCUAAAACCAAGAGAAACAUCUCUAAGACGCAGAACAUCUGACCACACUGAUCCGGCCACACGCCGACCAACGAACCAAGUUACCCUAGGGAUAACAGCGCAAUCCCCUUUCAGAGUCCAUAUCGACAAGGGGGUUUACGACCUCGAUGUUGGAUCAGGACAUCCUAGUGGUGCAGCCGCUAUUAAGGGUUC